CCGGCGUCGUCGCCAGUUAUCGGCGAACCGCGAUUCGAUCCUCGUCGUUUCGAGCCGCGCUAGCGACGAGAUGUAAACGCGACUCGACAAAGUUUCCUCGUACACGACGUUGCUCUGGUAAACGUGGCGUGUCGGCUAUACACGCGUGUUCACUCGUCACGCAGGACCAUAUUUUCUCGUGGUGCGAACGAAAACCCUUGGAUUUCGAGGCGUCUCGAUAUUAUUAUAAAAUAUACUCAUCGCGAAAGGUGUUGUGUGUGCUACGAUCAUUUCUAUUCAUUUUCCUUUUUCUUUUUCUUUUGGAGCAAACUUGUUGUCUUUGGUUUUAUUCGCUGGUGACAUUUAGGACAUCGAGGUGUACGAUUCGAAAGGAGCGUGCGGUGGACCACGGUGGAAAGCACGAACUGCAGUUAGAAAUAAAGGAUAGCAUGGUGUGUUAUGGCUCCUUGCGUAUUGCAGCUGUCUGUCAUAAUUGCUGAAGUUGCACCGAGAGCAACGUUUCGAAACAGAAGAAACCAAUGAACGUUGAUCUCUUCGUAACACGAUCCUAACCUCAAACAUGUUCUCCUGGACGAGCGACUAACCAUCCUAU